GGAGUCAACGAUUGAUCAAGUUCAAGAUGUGGGUUCGAGUAUAUUUGAUGUCAUUGGGAAAGUGAUUGGUGUUGCUAUUGAAGUUGUGAAGCCUGGGAUUGAUGCUGCAUUGCCUAUUUUAAAGCAAGUAGCAGAGCAAGCUCAGAAGCUUGCUUCCCCUGCAAUUUCAGAGGCAUCUAAGAAAGCUCAAGAGGCAAUUCAGAGCUCUGGCAUUGACACAGGGCUUGUGAUAACUACAGCUAAGCACUUGCAUGAUCAACUGUAACUGAAGAUUAAAACUUCACAUCUUCGUGGCUGCAGCACAACCAAGAGGCAAGCAAUUGAGCUUGACCGUUUGAGAAGUGAAAUUGAAGAGCAUCAAAGAAGGGUAGUUGCAGCAGAUGAAUGAGCUAUACAAAUUGCAGAAGAAUUCAGUGCCCAAAAGGAGCUAAUUAAGAACUUGCAAGAGCAGUAACUUGAAACUAGGGGGUUGUACGAGGAGUUAAUUGCCCAAAUGAAAGACUUGCGCAAAUGACAGACUAUUGAAAAGUCCAGCUUGAUAUUGAUCAUGAGGAGGCUGUUGGAUAUGAUGAUAGAGAUGGUUGAAGUCUGGCAUUGGUGUCGUGGUCUAUGCUUUAGUUUAGAAAUCUAGUACUCUUUUUUUGGGAAGGAUAUGUAUUGGUCAUUACUGCUUGAA